UAUGGUUCUAGAACAGAGGCUCUGGAAUGGUUUGGAUUCCCGAACUGUCAUUUUAAUGUGUCCUCUGUGAGAGACUCUGAGUGACAAGGGUGGUGAGACCCUGCACCUAAGAAGUGACAGACAGCGAAGCUGAGAGGUUAACAGGAGGAAGCCUACACAAGCCCUUCAUCUGCAGAGAGUGCUCGGCAUCAAAUGUGUGGACCCUUCGUUCCUUUCAUGCCCCAGUAAAGAACAUCAAGGCUUCCGAGUGGCUUCCUCCUUCCUUUCUUCCUGACACUCGGCACGUCGGUGGACUUGACUUUCCAGCUACAACACCAUAUCCUGAAAUGAAAAUGACAGCCAGCCAGGAAGAGAACAGAAACCCUGGCCUGCAGCUCUCCAGUGUCUGCUAUACCGCGGGUCUCGAUGGAGACUCUUUAGUCUCGUCUUUGGGGUUGGAUAUACACCUCAGUAGUAAAGCAAAUGUUUAACCACAUACAAGACCCUGGAUUCCAUCCCCUGUGCUGGGAAGGAAACGGGGCAUCUGUUAACAUUUUAAUGGUCUGUGUGACCAAAGUCCUUGGUUCCAUUUUGGAAGCGUUUUCUCCAAUUGAUUUCAUAUGAUAUUUGGUGAUGUGACCAAAUACCCGAGAAGCUUCAACCUCAAGAGCGAAAGGUUUCUUCUAGCCUGUGGUUCUGAGGACACAAUCCAACCUGGCAGAAAGGCAUCAAUGGCAGGAGCAUGAGGUGUGUGGUCGUCACGCUUCAUCAGGAAGCAGAGAACGAUGGAUGCUGUUGGCUUUCUCCUUUCUUACUGUCCUUUAUUCCAUCCGGACCUUGGCUGCUGAGAAGGGUGUCACCCACAUCCAGUGUGAGUCUUCAGAUGACUUCUCUGGAAACAUCCUCCCAGACACAAGACACACACAGUGGUGUGGCGCCUAGGUGACUCUAGAUUCAUAAGUUGGCAAUGGCAGCUAUAGAAGAUUCUUGUAAAUAGAAAUGAGUAUACUACAGAGAAAGGUAAGAGAUAUCCACUCAGGCCUUUGAGGGAAACUGGCUAAGUCUAUGAGAGGAAGCAAACAGAUGUUGACAGGGGGAAGAAGAAAAGAGGCUGAGAAACCUAAGAUGCGACACCAGAAUGUGCCCCUGGGACACUGAUGAGACUGCUUCAUUUUGCUGUGGGCUCAGGGAGGCUCAAUGUUCAAAGACAAUCUUAACACAAUGUCUGCCAAGGGAGAGAUACCAGACACACCCAAGGCCGGACACUACUGCACUUUACUUUAGAAAUAAAGCUGCAUGUAUUGGUUUUCACCAUAGAAGAUGCUCAGAAAGUAGAUGGUGGAUAAAAGUAAGAAGAUACAAGUUAUGAUUUGAUCUGCUCUAGUUCUUGGUGAGCUGUUACCAUCCAGCUAUGCCCACGGCAGGCAAAUUUACCCAAUCAGAGUCACCUCGCUUCCUUAAUUAGGUCAAAUGUUAUCUUAGCCAAGACGAAAUUGUAACUUUUGUGACUGAAGUAGGGAGCCCCAGCCUUUUCCUCAGGGUUCGGCUUUCUUGAAAGGCAUAUGGUUUAUUUCUAUGUUUCAUCCCGAAAAUGUUGCUGCCUUCUGCAGAACACACUUCAGUAAAACAAGCCACAAGCACAGA